GAAGCAAAAAUGGGGCAGCCAAUCUUCUUUAACUAAUAACUAGCAAGGAUUAUAAUAUAGAAGAAAAGACAGAAUACCUCUGAAAUUUGAAAAAGUUUACAUUUCUCUGCAUCUUAGUUCGGUUAGGGACUGAAAUACGAAAACAUGAAGUAUACCUUUUGUUGCCUAAAUAAUAUGCAAUAGAAUCCUGACUCAUUGUAAAUCCUGACUCACAGUACGAUAGCCUGUUUUUAUAGUACCUUUUCCCUUAACUGAAAGCAUCUCCAUCUACCCUAGGUUGAAUGAAAAUUUACAUUCCUAAUAAGUGGAUUAUCUGCCUGCUGUAGAUGCCUGAUUGAGCUUCAGAAUUGAUUCAAAAUUCAAAACUUUACUAAGACAAUGAAAAUUGCCAGAUGUCCACUUGAAUUGACUUCUAUAGAACGAUGUCUGUUACUUAGCAUAAUGAGGAAGCAAGGUGUUUCAAAAAGUGGAUUGCUUUAUACACAUUAGAGAAGCCUUUCUUAUAGAAAGAUUCUUGGACCACAUGCAUCAGAACUGACUUAUCCAGUAUUUACUGAAAAAGAGAAGUGCCUCAAAAUUGUACUUCAUAUAUCCCUUAUAUAAUAUCUCACUUUGUAUAGCAAAUAAAAGUAACAUCAAUAAUAAGAUUGGAAAUGAGGUGAUUGGUAUGUUAAUUAAAGGUGACCUCAGCACUCUUAAUAUUAACCUCCUGAUUUUCUCCACUGUUUCAGCAAAAGGAGAAGAAGACUGUGAUUGUGGAUAACAAAUGAACUGACUGAUAACAAGCAUGGAUUCACACAUUUCCAGUUGAAACAACACCUGGAAAGAAUCAAGACUGACAAAUAUGGGUUAACUUUGGGAGAGUUUAUUUUCAAUGGUCAAGACUUUUAAAAGUAGUGAGUACAAUGUUUACACGAAUAACCAGUUCUCAGGUAAUUAGUCAGAGUAAAGGCUGGAUAAAUAACCAGUUUUAAAAUGAGAAGAAUAGUUGUAUUCUUGCAAGGCAUUCACCCAAAUUUGCAAAACUAGGAUCUAAUGAAUCUGUCCUUGACUUCAUGGAUGAAUUGUGAGCUUUUUAUCAGGUUGAUGGGAUUAUAUGAGAGAACAUCUGUAAAGUGCUGAACACAGAGUCUGGCACGCAG